rnacentral:tRNA from 1 species
UGCUCAGUAGUUUUAAUUGAGAACAGGUAAUUUCGGAUUACCAGGUAGAACCUUGAAUGGGGGCUUGGGCAU